rnacentral:lncRNA from 1 species
CAUCUGGAGUCAGCUUUCAGUAUAAUCUUUUCUUCCUGCAAGCCCUAGAGAUUUGGUCUGCUCACCUUUCUUCUUUCAGGCUGUCACCACCAAUUCUCCGUCCUAUGGUUCAUCUUCCACCAGAAUUCUGGGAAUUCGGGAGAGAAUUCAGAGGCUUCUUGCAUUUUCGAGCUUCUAGAGGACAUCUGCAUUUUUUUGGCUUGUGGCUCCUUUCUCUGCCUUCAAAGCCAUCAGCAUAGCAAUUUAAAAUCUCUAUGACUCUGACUUUAUUUCAUCUUUUAAGGAUCCUUUGAAUUACAUUGUGCCUGUCCAGAUAAUCCAGGAUAAUCUCCCUAAUAAAAAAAAAAACUUAAUUUAGUCACAUUAGAAAAAUUCUUUUUGUCAUGUAACAUAAUAUUCAACAUAUUGACAGGCUUAGGAUGUGGGGAUUACGAUAUGGACAUAUUUGGGGAGCUAUUAUCCUUGCUACUACAAAUAAUAUCACAUUUUCCAUAUCCUAUGGGUCACAUAGGCCAACACUAGUAUAAUGCAGAAGGGGACUACACAAGAAAAUACCAGGAGGUGGAGCUCACUGUGGCCAUUUGGAGGCUGGCUACCAUAAUUUUUUUUUUUUUUUUUUUUUUUGAGACAGGGUCUCCUUCUGUAGCCCAGGCUGGAGUGCAGUGGUGCAACCUCAGCUCACUGCAACCUCUGCCUCCAGGGUUCAAGUGAUCCUCCUACCUCAGCCUCCCAAGUAGCUGGGGCUACAGGCACAAGCCACCACACCCAACUAAUUUUUUCUAUUUUUUGUGGAGAUGGGGUUUUGCCAUAUUGCCCAUGUGGGUCAUAUCACAAUAGUUUUUGAAUAAUUGCUACAUAACUUUGAAAAGUAUUACUUAUUGCUUUAAAAUACAAUAUUGAAACUAAAAUCUUAUACAAUUAUUAACAUUUGCUUUCACUAGAUGGAGAAUAAUAAUGAUGAUGAUGAUAAAAUAACAAUAGCUACCAUUAUUGAGUUCCUAAUAUGUUCUGGGCACUGUACUAAGCUCUUUAUAUAACAUUUCUAAUUUCGUAAUAUGAAAGAUCAAUGAUUCUUAAAAAUCAUUUUACAGAUGAAGAUGUAAGUUCAGAGAAGCUAAAUGAGUUGAAUAAGUUUGCACAAUAACAGUAGAUACAGCAAGAGUUUGAAUAUAGUUUGGUCAAGUCAUGGAAUAUGUGGUUUCCUAUCCCAUCAUUAACUACCAAUGAUCUAAUAUAAUGAAUUCAAUGCUCAUAACCCAGUUUUCCACAUAGUCAUUACUCAACUACAGAUUCUUUAACUGUGUGAUUCUGAAAGAGUAGAGAAUCACAGCUAUUCAUGUAAUUUAUUCUCACCUACAGAUGGCACUUGUGCAAAUAGAAGUUCAAUACAUGGAAGGUACCUCAAUUUCUAAACUUAUACCAAUAAUAAUUGUCAUAUCAGAAAAUUAAAUCCUCAUCCAUUUAAACAGCUUUUCAUUGUUAUUGGCUAUAUUAAAGUAAAAUAAAAGAAACAGUCUCAUACUAAUAUUGUCCAAAUAAAUUCUGAUGUAGUCAUGUAAGCAACAACUGAGACAACAUAAAAGAAGAUUCUUUAGCUUUAGGCAUAUCUUCAAUUUACCAAAGCUCUACAAUGAUCCAUUUUGUAAAGUAGCAACAUCCUAUCUAAGGGCAAGGAUAGGAAUCCUCUAUACUACCCUUUUUUUUGGCCUCUUCUAUUUAUAUAGAAUAUAAUACUCUAUAUUAUAUAGAGUCUAUCUAUGUAGUAGUCUAUGUUGUAGACUCUGUAUAAAUAAUAUGUACUCUAUGUAAAUAAUAUAUAGAAAAAUGAGGUGAAUGUUACUGAAAAGAUUUUAUAUAUAUAUAUAUAUAUAUAUAUAUAUAUAUGUAUGUAUUCAAG